rnacentral:rRNA from 1 species
GACGAACGCUGGCGGCGUGCCUAAUACAUGCAAGUCGAGCGAAGUUUUUCUGGUGCUUGCACUAGAAAAACUUAGCGGCGAACGGGUGAGUAACACGUAAAGAACCUGCCUCAUAGACUGGGACAACUAUUGGAAACGAUAGCUAAUACCGGAUAACAGCAUUAACUGCAUGGUUGAUGUUUGAAAGUUGGUUUUGCUAACACUAUGAGAUGGCUUUGCGGUGCAUUAGCUAGUUGGUGGGGUAAAGGCCUACCAAGGCGACGAUGCAUAGCCGACCUGAGAGGGUGAUCGGCCACACUGGGACUGAGACACGGCCCAGACUCCUACGGGAGGCAGCAGUAGGGAAUCUUCCGCAAUGGGCGAAAGCCUGACGGAGCAACGCCGCGUGAGUGAAGAAGGAUUUCGAUUCGUAAAGCUCUGUUGUUAGGGAAGAAUGAUUAUGUAGUAACUAUACAUAGUAGAGACG